GAUGAACGCUGGCGGCGUGCCUAAUACAUGCAAGUCGAGCGAACAGACGAGGAGCUUGCUCCUCUGACGUUAGCGGCGGAAGGGUGAGUAACACGUGGAUAACCUACCUAUAAGACUGGGAUAACUUCGGGAAACCGGAGCUAAUACCGGAUAAUAUAUUGAACCGCAUGGUUCAAUAGUGAAAGACGGCUUUGCUGUCACUUAUAGAUGGAUCCGCGCCGCAUUAGCUAGUUGGUAAGGUAACGGCUUACCAAGGCAACGAUGCGUAGCCGACCUGAGAGGGUGAUCGGCCACACUGGAACUGAGACACUGUCCAGACUCCUACGGGAGGCAGCAGUAGCGAAUCUUCCGCAAUGGGCGAAAGCUUGACGGAGCAACGCCGCGUGAGUGAUGAAGGUCUUCGGAUCGUAAAACUCUGUUAUUAGGGAAGAACAAAUGUGUAAGUAACUAUGCACGUCUGGACGGUACCUAAGCAGAAAACCACGGCUAACUACGU
rnacentral:rRNA from 1 species